UUACAUUUUGAUUUCUACCUCUCCCUCUUCCAUUAUCUUUACUCUUCAUCUCUAUUUUCUCAUCUAAUUUCUGUCUACAUUUCUCAUCUACAAUAUCUUCCUCUUCUUGUUCUUCAUCUUCUUCAUCAUCAUUUCCCCUUCUUGUUCUUGUUUGUUCUUCUCCUCUAUAUCCUUUUACCUUGUGAUUUUGUUUUCAUCCUUUG
rnacentral:lncRNA from 1 species